AAGGUUAAAAGUAAAGUACCGUACGCUAAUAGCCGCAUAACCCGCUAGUACCGCAUGGUACAGACGGAAAAGAUUUAUCGGUGUAAGAUGGACCCGCGUCUGAUUAGCUGGUUGGUGAGGUAAUGGCUCACCAAGGCGACGAUCAGUAGCCGGCUUGAGAGAGUGGACGGCCACAUUGGGACUGAGACACGGCCCAGACUCCUACGGGAGGCAGCAGGUGGGGAAUAUUGCACAAUGGGGGAAACCCUGAUGCAGCGACGCCGCGUGAGUGAAGAAGUAUUUCGGUAUGUAAAGCUCUAUCAGCAGGGAAGAAAAUGACGGUACCUGACUAAGAAGCCCCGGCUAACUACGUG
rnacentral:rRNA from 1 species